rnacentral:tRNA from 1 species
CAGGAAGUAGCUAACACACCAAAAGCACCCAACUUACACUUGGAAGAUGUUACUCCAACCUCCCUGAG